AUGGGUGUUUGCACACCUCAAGGCAGCCUAAUUGCUGGGUCGUUUUGUGCAUCUUCUGCUUUAGAGCCUCCACGGUGUGUCCGUGCCCGUUACCUGGCCGCCAGCACACACAUAGAGGGUGCUCAGGUCCCCACAUGGCCCCAGGACCCCCUCUGGGCACCUCUGGCCAGGACAGAACAGGGCCAACGUGGGGUGCUGGGGCGUGGGAUAAGGGUGCCCAGCGUGACUGCCCCAGAGCAGAGGCACCCAGAGAUGUCCCCAGUGGGUCAGGGCUCAGUGGCACUGGGGGACCGGGGACACACAGUGCCCCAGAAUCGCAUGGCAUGGCACAGCGCUGCACGGCACCACUCAUCCCCACCGGCAUGGCUUGGUUUGGCAUGGCACUGCAGGGCUCGGCACGGUUCAGGACUGCAGGAUGGCUUGGCACAGGCACGGCACUGCACAGCACCAUCGCUCAGCACCGCACUGCUCAGCACUGCACAGCUGUGCAUGGCUUGGCACAGGUCAUCACACGGCACGGCACAGCUCCGCACCGCACUGCACGGCACCGCACUGCACGGCACAGCACUGCACAGUUCGGCUCUGCUCGGCACUGCUCAACACGGUUUAGCCCUGCGUGGCACGGCUCAACACCCCGGCCGUGCGCACGCUGCAUGCACAGCACCCAUGGCCCCGCUUGGCUUGGCCCUGCUCACACCAGCACUGCACGGCCCGGCACUGUACGAAGCCCCUUGCCUUGGCAGCAGCCUUUCUAGCUCGGCAUUGCGUGGCACGGCUCAGCUUGGCAUGGCACGGCCUGGUGCUGCUCAGAGCAGUGCUGCAUGGGCUGGCACCGCUCAGUUCCACCCAGCACGGCUCGGCACGGGUCAGCACUGCUGGGCUCAGCCCGGCUCAGCCCGGCUCAGCUUGGCUCUGGUCCAGCUCUGCACGGGACUGCUGGCCUUGGCUAAGCUUGUCCAGCCCUUGCAGGACAUGGCAUGGCUUGGUUUGGCUCGGCUUGGCUUGGCCUGGUCCAGCACGGCUUGGCACGCCUUGGCCUGUCCUGGCUUGGCACCGCACACCAUGCGGUGCCUUGACCCAGUCCGGGCCAACCCGGCACGGCUCGGCCUGGCUUGGCACUGCACCAAGCGCACGGCACUUGACUAA
rnacentral:lncRNA from 1 species